UGUCAUUCAGAGCAGCAGGCAGAGCUCACAGACGCUGCUGCUGCAGGCGGAAAGGCGCUGAGGGGAACCGAGAGGGUGGGCUGCCCCAUCUGCAGGCAGCUACAGGUUGGACCACGGCCGCAGUCAGGCGAAGAAAAAAAAAAGCCCGCGCCUUCUUUGGGCGAGGAAGAACAAACGCCGCUGACGGGCUACCGACAAAAGCGAAGCCCCGGCAGGAAGAAGAUCUUGGUGAACUUUGAGGCGUCGCGGUGCCCCCUCCGCUUUCUCUUGCACGGAUCCUGUGAGAAGAGGAGGAGGCUGCCUUUUCCAGGCUCUGACAGGUUUAUUAGUUAGGCAGAAGCACAAUUGGAAAGGGUGCCUAUAAUUGAAGUGAUUUUCUAUCACCAUCAUGAAGAAAAGUAGGAGUGUAAUGACUGUCCCUACAGAAGGUGUAAGUAUUAACACGCAU
rnacentral:lncRNA from 1 species